UUCCGGAGCUAACGCGUUAAGUCGACCGCCUGGGGAGUACGGCCGCAAGGUUAAAACUCAAAUGAAUUGACGGGGGCCCGCACAAGCGUGGAGCAUGUGGUUUAAUUCGAUGCAACGGAAGAACCUUACCUACUCUUGACAUCCAGAGAACUUUCCAGAGAUGCUUUGGUGCCUUCGGGAACUCUGAGACAGGUGCUGCAUGGCUGUCGUCAGCUCGUGUUGUGAAAUGUUGGGUUAAGUCCCGCAACGAGCGCAACCCUUAUCCUUUGUUGCCAGCGGUCCGGCCGGGAACUCAAAGGAGACUGCCAGUGAUAAACUGGAGGAAGGUGGGGAUGACGUCAAGUCAUCAUGGCCCUUACGAGUAGGGCUACACACGUGCUACAAUGGCGCAUACAAAGAGAAGCGAACUCGCGAGAGCAAGCGGACCUCAUAAAGUGCGUCGUAGUCCGGAUUGGAGUCUGCAACUCGACUCCAUGAAGUCGGAAUCGCUAGUAAUCGUAGAUCAGAAUGCUACGGUGAAUACGUUCCCGGGCCUUGUACACACCGCCCGUCACACCAUGGGAGUGGGUUGCAAAAGAAGUAGGUAGCUUAACCUUCGGGAGGGCGCUUACCACUUUGUGAUUCAUGACU
rnacentral:rRNA from 1 species